rnacentral:rRNA from 1 species
UACCGGCGGCUCGAGUGGUGGCCACUAUUACUGGGCUUAAAGCGUCCGUAGCUUGGUUGUUAAGUCUCCUGGGAAAUCCAUCGGCUCAACCGAUGGGCGUUCAGGAGAUACUGGCAACCUAGGGACCGGGAGAGGUGAGAGGUACUCCAGGGGUAGGAGUGAAAUCCUGUAAUCCUUGGGGGACCACCUGUGGCGAAGGCGUCUCACUAGAACGGCUCCGACAGUGAGGGACGAAAGCUGGGGGAGCAAACCGG